UCCCUGCCUUCCCUAGUCCCACCCCAUAAGACCUUGAACCAGCAUUCUCAGCCUCACCCAAGUAUCAUCAAGGUAGACCAGUGAUUCUCAAAUUCUAACAUACGUUGGAAUCACCUACAGGACGUGUUAAAACAGGUUGCUGGGAUCCGCCUCCAGAAUUUGUGAUUCAGUGGAAUUUAUAUUUCUGAAUAAUUCUCAGGUGAUGACAACAAUGCUGGUCCCUGGUUGCUUCCUCACCACUAAAUGUGCUUGCAGUUGGUUUCAUAGCCAUAGCCUGGUGUAGACCCAUGGGUCCAACUAUGCCCCUGCAGCAGCAUUUGGAUCUAAUGCCUGGUGGGAAAAAGUCACUCAUUUCUAGCACUGUUUCCCUUGGAGACCACAGGAGCAGCUGCCUGCAAAAACGUUUCUCUCCCUCCUCACUCAUCAGCCCCAGUCCAGCAGCCUGUUUUCUUCCUCCUUGAAAACAUCUGAUGUUGGGAUGGCAUGCAACUGAAGGACAAUAUAAAAACUUCACCACACUGGGUCAGACACAUUGA